GAUGAACGCUGGCGGCGUGCCUAAUACAUGCAAGUCGAGCGAAUGGAUUAAGAGCUUGCUCUUAUGAAGUUAGCGGCGGACGGGUGAGUAACACGUGGGUAACCUGCCCAUAAGACUGGGAUAACUCCGGGAAACCGGGGCUAAUACCGGAUAACAUUUUGAACCGCAUGGUUCGAAAUUGAAAGGCGGCUUCGGCUGUCACUUAUGGAUGGACCCGCGUCGCAUUAGCCAGUUGGUGAGGUAACGGCUCACCAAGGCAACGAUGCGUAGCCGGCCUGAGAGGGUGAUCGGCCACACUGGGACUGAAACACGGCCCAGACUCCUACGGGAGGCAGCAGUAGGGAAUCUUCCGCAAUGGACGAAAGUCUGACGGAGCAACGCCGCGUGAGUGAUGAAGGCUUUCGGGUCGUAAAACUCUGUUGUUAGGGAAGAACAAGUGCUAGUUGAAUAAGCUGGCACCUUGACGGUACCUAACCAGAAAGCCACGGCUAACUACGUGCCAGCCGCCGCCGUAA
rnacentral:rRNA from 1 species